AUGGAAGAUUGCUGUCUCUCCCUUUCAAAUAAAACAUGUUUUAAAUAUACCCAGAACAGAAUAAGUCCCUGGUGCCUGGCUCUGCCCCCAGACAUUCUUGGAUCUCAGGCAAUCCCAGCAUGCAGAGCAGAGUGUGGGAGGCAUCGAGACACGCCAAGGUUCUCAGGCAGAGCUGCACGUGAGAAGCACCUGGGGAACUUAAGAGAGGAAUUCAGACACCGGAUCUCCAAAAUUCAGACUCGCCCGGGCCAGUCCCCACAUGUCCCACAGGGUUCCAGUGAAUCUGGUGAGCCCUUGGGUUGCAAACCUGUCAUCCAGGAUUCUGGAUUCCUGGAGGUGUCUGGACAUGGGCCUCUAAGACAAGGCUUUCCUGUCAUCAAUGUCCUCAAGUCUGACUGUGAGAGUCCCCUAAGUUCCCUCGAGGCCAUUAGGGAUGCUUGCAGGCACGGUCAGCUUUGAGGGGAGGUGGGCUACAAGGUUCUUCUUUUCUACAUUAAAAAAAAAUGCAUUUACUUAUUUGAGAGGCAGAAAGAGAGCGAGAUCUCAUAUGCCGGUCAGUUCCCACAACCCCUGACUGGAGCUGAAGUUAGGAGCUGGGGACUCCAUCCUGGUCUCCCAAGUGGGUUAAAGAACUUGUACCUUUUCCCUCCCCGCCACUUGCUCUCUUUUGUUGAGAUCCUCAGUGCCUAACCAGACCUUUCUCAACUCCUUGCAAUGCAAAUGGCAAAACAGAUAAGCUGCACAGGGCAGCUAAGAAACAGAUAAGAGGGAAAUUCCCUGAGACUUCAAAGAGCACCCCCCCCACCUACUCUUCCACCAGCUAUAGUCUACACCUCCCCUCUCCCGACAAAUUCCCCCCUCCUAACCAGGAUAAAAACCUGAGUCCCAAAUGCACCCUGCUGCAUGCAGUCUCUCUGCUUCAACAAACCAAUCUGCCUCUGUUGAAGUCCGUCUCUGUCUCCUUUUCCCAUCUCUCCUUUCUGGGGGUACGGAAGACCAGAACCCCGAGAUAUUCCAAACCUAACACGGGUGGUACAGACAUAGCUAGUUGAGCCAGCACCAUUGUCCCCCUCGGGGUCUGCAUUUACAGGAAGCUGGAUUCAGGAGCCAGAGCGGGCAUCAAACCCAGGGCCUCUGAUUCAGGACCCAGGUAUCCUCACUGUGAGGCCAAGCACCCUUCCCCUAGGAGCUGCUUUCUGCCCUCUUUCCAGGCUGACACAGGGUGGCCCCUGCUCCUAAGGCUCCAUCUGCAGGGGGCCACGGGAAGGCUUGGGAACUCCUCCUUUGCCUGCUGGGGAAGCCAGGAGGAAUGUGAACUUGCUUUCUGUUUCCUCACCAAGGUCAUGCCCAAGGGCUCUGGGAGGAAUUUUAAUUAGUCCAGAGAGUAACUAGGCAUUACCUCCACCUUCUUAGGAUACCAGGCCAGGAGGGUUCCACGGACCAUUCUCUGGCUUCUCAC
rnacentral:lncRNA from 1 species